rnacentral:rRNA from 1 species
UACGGAGGGGGCGAGCGUUAUUCGGAAUUAUUGGGCGUAAAGGGCGCGUAGGCGGCCUUCUAAGUCGAACGUGAAAUCCCCGGGCUCAACCCGGGAACUGCGUCCGAUACUGGAAGGCUUGAAUCCGGGAGAGGGAUGCGGAAUUCCAGGUGUAGCGGUGAAAUGCGCAGAUAUCAGGAAGAACACCCGUGGCUAAGGCGGCUCUCUAGUACGGUACUGACGCUGAGACGCGAAAGCGUGGGGAGCGAACAGG